GGGUAGGGUUUAAGGUUUAGUGAUUAGGGUUUAGGGUUUAAAUUUGGGUUUAGGGUUUAGUGGUUAGGGUUUAGGGUUUAGCAUUUGGAAGGUGGGAGUUGAGGUUGGGGUCCAUAUAACUUCUUACAUUCAAGCAUAGACGUUUCAUAAUUUCACCAAUAUGUACUAUACUAUUUAUUUUGUUCCAUUCUAUUUGGGUUUAAGUUUUUAUUUGUAUUUAAAUUUAGGUUUAGAGUUUAGUGAUUAGGGUUUAGGGUUUAAAUUUGGGUUUAGGGUUUAGUGAUUAGGGUUUAGGGUUUAAAUUUGGGUUUAGGAUUUAGUGGUUAGGGUUUAGCAUUUGGAAGGUGGGGGUUGAAGUUGGGGUCCAUAUAACUUCUUACAUUUAAGCAUAGACGUUUCAUAAUUUCACCAAUAUGUACUAUACUAUUUAUUUUGUUCCAUUCUAUUUGGGUUUAGGGUUUUUAUUUUUAUUUAAAUUUGGGUUUAGGGUUUAGUGAUUAGGGUUUAGGGUUUAGUAAUUAGGGUUUAGGGUUUAAAUUUGGGUUUAAGGUUUAGUGAUUAGGGUUUAGGGUUUAUGGUUUAAAUUUGGGUUUAUGGUUUACUGAUUAGGGUUUAGGGUUUAAAUUUGGGUUUAGGGUUUAGUGGUUAGGGUUUACCAUUUGGAAGGUGGGGGUUGAGGUUGGGGUCCAUAUAACUUCUUACAUUCAAGCAUAGACGUUUCAUAAUUUCACCAAUAUCUACUAAACUAUUUAUUUUGUUCCAUUCUAUUUGGGUUUAGGGUUUUUAUUUGUAUUUAAAUUUGGGUUUAGGGUUUGGUGAUUAGGGUUUAGGGUUUAAAUUUGGGUUUAGGGUUUAGUGAUUAGGGUUUACGGUUUAAUGAUUAGGGUUUAGGGUUUAAAUUUGGGUUUAGAGUUUAGUGGUUAGGGUUUAGCAUUUGGAAGGUGGGGGUUGAGGUUGGGGUCCAUAUAACUUCUUACAUUCAAGCAUAGACGUUUCAUAAUUUCACCAAUAUCUACUAAACUAUUUAUUUUGUUCCAUUCUAUUUGGGUUUAGGGUUUUUAUUUGUAUUUAAAUUUGGGUUCAGGGUUUAGUGAUUAGGGUUUAGGGUUUAAAUUUGGGUUUAGGGUUUAGUGAUUAGGGUUUACGGUUUAAAUUUGGGUUUACGGUUUAAAUUUGGGUUUGCGGUUUAAUGAUUAGGGUUUAGGGUUUAAAUUUGGUUUUAGGGUUUAGCAUUUGGAAGGUGGGGGUUGAGGUUGGGGUCCAUAUAACUUCUUACAUUCAAGCAUAGACGUUUCAUAAUUUCACCAAUAUGUACUAUACAAUUUAUUUUGUUCCAUUAUAUUUGGGUUUAGGGUUUUUAUUUGUAUUUAAAUUUGGGUUUAGGUUUUAGUGAUUAGGGUUUAGGGUUUAAAUUUGGGUUUAAGGUUUAGUGAUUAGGGUUUAGGGUUUAAAUUUGGGUUUAAGGUUUAGUGAUUAGGGUUUAGGGUUUAAAUUUGGGUUUAUGGUUUACUGGUUAGGGUUUAGGGUUUAAAUUUGGGUUUAGGGUUUAGUGGUUGGGGUUUAGCAUUUGGAAGGUGGGGGUUGAGGUUGGGGUCCAUAUAACUUCUUACAUUCAAGCAUAGACGUUUCAUAAUUUCACCAAUAUGUACUAUAUUAUUUAUUUUGUUCCAUUCUAUUCGGGUUUAGGGUUUUUAUUUGUAUUUAAAUUUGGGUUUAGGGUUUAGUGAUUAGGGUUUAGGGUUUAAAUUUGGGUUUAGGGUUUAGUGGUUGGGGUUUAGCAUUUGGAAGGUGGGGGUUGAGGUUGGGGUCCAUAUAACUUCUUACAUUCAAGCAUAGACGUUUCAUAAUUUCACCAAUAUGUACUAUAUUAUUUAUUUUGUUCCAUUCUAUUCGGGUUUAGGGUUUUUAUUUGUAUUUAAAUUUGGGUUUAGGGUUUAGUGAUUAGGGUUUAGGGUUUAAAUUUGGGUUUAGGGUUUAGUGAUUAGGGUUUAGGGUUUAAAUUUGGGUUUAGGGUUUAGUAGUUAGGGAUUAGUGGUUAGGGUUUAGCAUUUGGAAGGUGUGGGUUGAGGUUGGGGUCCAUAUAACUUCUUACAUGCAAGCAUAGACGUUUCAUAAUUUCACCAAUAUGUAUUAUACUAUUUAUUUUGUUUUAUUCUAUUUGGGUUUAAGGUUUAUAUUUGGAUUUAAGAUUUAUAUUUUGGUUUUGAAUCUAGAGAAUAAGGUUUAGGGUUUAAUAUUUAGGGGUUGUGGAUGGGAUUGUGAUAUGCUUUAUUAUUUUGGAUUGAUAUGGGAUUUGUGUUUUAUAUUAUUUUAUUGAUAUGAAAUAUAACACUAUGGUUUGAGUGUCGAAGUAGAUGGAAUACACCAUUUAUUGUAAAAAUGUUUUUACUUUGUCUACAUAAUUACUAAACACAAUGAAAC
rnacentral:lncRNA from 1 species